rnacentral:rRNA from 1 species
GACGAACGCUGGCGGCGUGCUUAACACGUGCAAGUCGAACGGAAAGGCCCUGCUUUUGCUGGGUGCUCGAGUGGCGAACGGGUGAGUAACACGUGAGUAACCUGCCCUUGACUUUGGGUUAACUUCAGGAAACUGGGGCUAAUACCGGAUAGGAGCUCCUGAUGCAUGGGGGGGGUUGGAAAGUUUCGGCGGUUGGGGAGGGACUCGGGGGUUAUCGGCUUGUUGGUGGGGUAGUGGCUUACCAAGGCUUUGACGGGUAGUCGGCCUGUGAGGGUGACCGGCCACAUGAGGACUGAGGUACGGCCCAGACUCCUACGGUAGGCAGCAGUGGGGAAUAUUGCACAAUGGGCGGAAGCCUGAUACGGCAACGCCGCGUGCGGGAUGACGGCCUUCGGGUUAAAAACCGCUUUCGCCUGUGACGAAGCGUGAGUGACGGUAAUGGAUAAAGAAGCACCGGCUAACUACGUG